rnacentral:rRNA from 1 species
GACGAACGCUGGCGGCGUGCUUAACACAUGCAAGUCGAACGGAAAGGCCCUGCUUUUGUGGGGUGCUCGAGUGGCGAACGGGUGAGUAACACGUGAGUAACCUGCCCUUGACUUUGGGAUAACUUCAGGAAACUGGGGCUAAUACCGGAUAGGAGCUCCUGCUGCAUGGUGGGGGUUGGAAAGUUUCGGCGGUUGGGGAUGGACUCGCGGCUUAUCAGCUUGUUGGUGGGGUAGUGGCUUACCAAGGCUUUGACGGGUAGCCGGCCUGAGAGGGUGACCGGGGAGAUUGGGACUGAGGUAGAGCCCAGACUCCUGCGGGAGGCAGUAGUGGGGAAGAUGGCGGAGGGGGCGGACGCCUGAUGCAGCAACGCCGCGUGCGGGAUGACGGGCUUCGGGUUGUAAACCGCUGUCGACUGAGACGAAGAGUGAGUGACGGUACGGGGUAAAGAAGCACCGGCUAACUACGUG